GCCGGGAUGUUGGAAUUGGCAGACAAGCAGGACUUAAAAUCCUGUGGCCGCAAGGUCGUGAGGGUUCGAGUCCCUCUCCCGGCA
rnacentral:tRNA from 1 species